GGAAGUGCAUACUGUAGUGCUGUGCAUGGGCCUGAUGUGUUGCAUUUGUUUUGUCUUGUCCAGAGAGUGAUGGAACUAGAAGCAGAUGCAAUGGGACAUGAACUACUUUUUGUAGAUGAGGCCGGUUUUAACCUCAGUAAAACCAGGAGACGUGGCAAGAACAUUAUUGGACACCGUGCCAUCAUCAACGUCCCAGGACAACGUGGUGGUAACAUAACCAUGUGUGCAGCUAUGACCCAAUAUGUCAUCAUAUGGGACAAUGUUAGUUUCCAUAGGGCUGCUUUGGUCCGCAACUGGUUUACAGACCACCCAUCCUUCAUGGCACUCAACCUCCCUCCAUACUCUCCAUUCUUGAAUCCCAUCGAGGAGUUCUUCUCUGCCUGGCGCUGGAAAGUGUACGACCGUCAUCUUCAUCAACAGGUAGCCCUUUUACAGGCAAUGGAGGAGGCAUGUGGAGAUAUUGACCAGGCAUCAUGUCAGGCCUGGAUACGGCAUUCAAGGAGAUAUUUUCCCCGGUGCCUUGGACUGGAGGAUGUCGCAUGCGAUGUGGACGAAAUUUUGUGGCCGGACCCAGAAAGACGACAUGAUGUAGGCUGAUUGUCUUUUUCUUUUUUUUUUCCUUUUUUUUUUUUUUGUGAAAUUCCUAUUUUGUGUUCUGACUUUGUCUUGGUUUUGAUGAGUGUGAAUAAACACCAAUACUUGAAGUUUGGAUCCUUGUAUGUUUACAUGACACUAUGACAAAAGUGUGACCUCAAAUUGAGAUGUGUUUUGUAUUCAUACCAUCAGUGUGCAGUUGGCGCAUUGUGUGCUUAGUAGAUGAUGGCUUGUGUGUACUGUUUGAUACGGAAACACCAUUUUUACGAAGGUGUGAAGAGUUAAUCUAGCUGUGUUUGCUUUUGCAAGAGAACUACAAUGUUUUGAUAAUUGGGUGACAGGUUUUCUUAUUUGUGUGUAGAGUUUUGCAAAAAUAGCCAAUAGUUACCAAAAAUGUGCUUAAGCAAUCAGAAAAAACUGUAAUACACUAUAACGUACCUGGUUGCCUCUCUGAUGGGUUAAUGAGCUUCAUCACCUUUAGGUCAUUGAAAUUCUGCUCUUCGUUCUUCCCUCCAAACACAUACAGCUGCCAAUCAAGUAGGCACAAAAAGAACACUUUAUUUCACAUCACAGUAAUAAUAAAAAAAAACCUCGAUAAUAAUAUAUUUUAUUUUUGCUGACAUGGCUGUGAAGGAUGAAGGCGGUGUGUCCAUGCCGACGUGUUGGAGGAAUCCCGACGUAGAGCGGGACCUUCCACUUCGUCUUCGCUGCAGACACACAGU
ensembl:lncRNA